AGUUUGAUCCUGGCUCAGGACGAACGCUGGCGGCAUGCCUAAUACAUGCAAGUCGAGCGGACUUGAGAAGAAGCUUGCUUCUUCGAUGGUUAGCGGCGGACGGGUGAGUAACACGUAGGCAACCUGCCUUUCAGUUUGGGAUAACUUCCGGAAACGGAUGCUAAUACCGAAUACAUCAUCUUCCGGCAUCGGAGGAUGAGGAAAGACGGCGCAAGCUGUCACUGAGAGAUGGGCCUGCGGCGCAUUAGCUAGUUGGUGGGGUAACGGCUCACCAAGGCGACGAUGCGUAGCCGACCUGAGAGGGUGAACGGCCACACUGGGACUGAGACACGGCCCAGACUCCUACGGGAGGCAGCAGUAGGGAAUCUUCCACAAUGGGCGAAAGCCUGAUGGAGCAAUGCCGCGUGAGUGAUGAAGGUUUUCGGAUCGUAAAGCUCUGUUGCCAGGGAAGAACGUCCAGUAGAGUAACUGCUAUUGGAGUGACGGUACCUGAGAAGAAAGCCCCGGCUAACUACGUGCCAGCAGCCGCGGUAA
rnacentral:rRNA from 1 species